GUGCUGGUUUGAGCACAUAUGCUAAAAUUGGAACAAUACAGACAAGAUUUAGCAUGGUGCCUGCAUGAGGAUGACAUGCAAAUUCAUGAAGCAUUUAAUUAAAAA
ensembl:snRNA U6 U6 spliceosomal RNA